AGAGUUUGAUCCUGGCUCAGAACGAACGCUGGCGGCAGGCCUAACACAUGCAAGUCGAACGCCGUAGCAAUACGGAGUGGCAGACGGGUGAGUAACGCGUGGGAACAUACCCCUCGGUUCGGAAUAACUCAGGGAAACUUGAGCUAAUACCGGAUACGUCCGAGGUUUUUAUCCACCUUGGAGAAAGAUUUAUCGCCGGAGGAUUGGCCCGCGUCUGAUUAGCUUGUUGGUGAGGUAAUGGCUCACCAAGGCGACGAUCAGUAGCUGGUCUGAGAGGAUGAUCAGCCACAUUGGGACUGAGACACGGCCCAAACUCCUACGGGAGGCAGCAGUGGGGAAUAUUGGACAAUGGGCGAAAGCCUGAUCCAGCCAUGCCGCGUGAGUGAUGAAGGCCUUAGGGUUGUAAAGCUCUU
rnacentral:rRNA from 1 species